rnacentral:misc_RNA from 1 species
GGAAGGCACGAUGAUAGAGAACUUCAUGAACAAGAACUUAGCUCUACAACGGUGGCCGGUACAACCAUGCCUAAGGAACAACAGAACCUUGAAAAACAUUUACCAUUUGAGUCUACUGGCAAGGAGGAUAAAUAUGAGAUUGUCUUGGGCAUUAGAGAGCUGGCAAGUAAAAGGUUGGCUGCAGAGGUGGUUGAAGAAAUUAACGCCGUGGAUCCGAACUUUUUUGCACAAAAUCCUAUUCUCCUAUUCCAACUUAAGCAGGUUGAAUUUUUG